GAUGAACGCUAGCGGCAGGCCUAAUACAUGCAAGUCGAACGGGAUUGAGGAGCUUGCUCCUCAUGAGAGUGGCGCACGGGUGCGUAACACGUAUGUAACCUACCUUAAUCAGGGGAAUAGCCUCUCGAAAGAGAGAUUAACACCGCAUAAAAUCACACUAUGGCAUCAUAGAAUGAUCAAAUAUUUAUAGGAUUAAGAUGGGCAUGCGGAACAUUAGCUAGUUGGUAAGGUAACGGCUUACCAAGGCUACGAUGUUUAGGGGAUCUGAGAGGAUGGCCCCCCACACUGGUACUGAGACACGGACCAGACUCCUACGUGAGGCAGCAGUAAGGAAUAUUGGUCAAUGGGCGGAAGCCUGAACCAGCCAUGCCGCGUGCAGGAAGACGGCCCUACGGGUUGUAAACUGCUUUUGUACCGGAAUAAACCUUUCUACGUGUAGGAAGCUGAGUGUACGGUAAGAAUAAGGAUCGGCUAACUCCGUGCCAGCCGCCGCCGUAA
rnacentral:rRNA from 1 species